rnacentral:rRNA from 1 species
CCUACGGGAGGCUGCAGUGAGGAAUAUUGGUCAAUGGCCGGAAGGCUGAACCAGCCAUGCCGCGUGAAGGUCAGUGCCCUAUGGGCGUUAAACUUCUUUUGUGCGGGAGCAAGAAUGGGCACGUGUGGCCAGACGAGAGUACCGUACGAAUAAGCAGCGGCGAACUCCGGGCCAGCAGCCGCGGGAAGACGGGGGAUGCAAGCGUUAUCCGGAGUUAGUGGGGGUAAAGGGUGCGUAGGCUGUGAGGUAAGGCAGCGGUGAAAUGCCCCCGCUCAACGGGGUGAAGUGCCAUUGAUACGGCCUUGCUGGAUUGCGGAUGCCGUGGGCGGAUUGUGUGGUGUAGCGGUGACAUGCCU